rnacentral:rRNA from 1 species
ACUCCUACGGGAGGCAGCAGUGGGGAAUAUUGCACAAUGGGCGCAAGCCUGAUGCAGCCAUGCCGCGUGUAUGAAGAAGGCCUUCGGGUUGUAAAGUACUUUCAGCAGUGAGGAAGGCGGGUGCGUUAAUAGCGUAUUCGUUUGACGUUAGCUGCAGAAGAAGCACCGGCUAACUCCGUGCCAGCAGCCGCGGUAAUACGGAGGGUGCGAGCGUUAAUCGGAAUUACUGGGCGUAAAGCGCAUGCAGGUGGUUUGUUAAGUCAGAUGUGAAAGCCCGGGGCUCAACCUCGGAAUUGCAUUUGAAACUGGCAGACUAGAGUACUGUAGAGGGGGGUAGAAUUUCAGGUGUAGCGGUGAAAUGCGUAGAGAUCUGAAGGAAUACCGGUGGCGAAGGCGGCCCCCUGGACAGAUACUGACACUCAGAUGCGAAAGCGUGGGGAGCAAACAGGAUUAGAUACCCUGGUAGG